rnacentral:tRNA from 1 species
GGAAAAGUGCCCGAGGACCCAGGGAUUACUUUGAUAAAGUAAAAACAGAGACAUAUCUCUCUUCUCCCA